GCUCAGCCGUAAACUUAGAUAAAAAUUUACAUAACUUAUCCGCCAGGGUACUACGAGCAUUAGCUUGAAACCCAAAGGACUUGGCGGUGCUUCAAACCCACCUAGAGGAGCCUGUUCUAGAACCGAUAAUCCCCGUUAAACCUCACCCUCUCUUGUUCUUCCCGCCUAUAUACCGCCGUCGUCAGCCUACCCUGUGAAGGCCUCAUAGUGAGCAUAAUUAGUAAAACUUAAAACGCCAGGUCGAGGUGUAGCAUAUGAGAGGGGAAGAAAUGGGCUACAUUCCCUAAAUCCGGGCAUACGGAUAGUAUAAUGAAAAGUAUAUUAGAAGGAGGAUUUAGCAGUAAGCAGUAAAUAGAGUGUCCUGCUGAAACUGGCCCUGAAGCGCGC
rnacentral:rRNA from 1 species